CAUUGGACAAUGUUUAGUUUUUGUGGUUUGGUCUAUUUUUCGGAUACUGUAAGCAAUAAGGCCCCUAUAUUUGGUGAAUGGAAUGAUUGUAAGAUGCACAUAUCUGUCUGGCAUGUUUUAUAUGACCUUAACCUCAUUUUCAUGGUUCAUUGGUCAAUGAAAAGUUUGCAUUGUUUUGUCAGUUUAUCAUAUGCUUUAAGCAACAGGUAAAUUAUAUUUGGCGGAUGUAACGAUUGUAAGGUGUGCAUGUCUGUCUGGCAGAUUCAUAUAACCAUGACCGUAUUUUAUGGUUCUUUGGUCAAUGCUAAGUUUUCUUGGUUUUUUCUUUUUAUCAGAUAUUAUAAGCAUAUGUCUACUUGUAAGUGUAUGGAAUGACUGCAAGGUGUCAUAUAAAAAUAAGAAGUUGUCUGUCUGCCAAGGUUAAUAUUACUGUGACCUCAUUUUCAUAGAAUAUUGAUAAUAUUAAACAAAAAAAAUGAUGAGCAUGACAAGAUAUACAAAUGAUCCAAAAUUGUCAGUUGCCUACUAAUUAUGUAAUAGUAGUUAUUGUCAUUAAAUGAUAAUGUUUACCCUUUUAUGUGUAGGGCAAGAACAUUAAAGAUAAAGGGAAACUAUAAACAAAAGAGAUUAUCAACAAAAAUAGAUUUACAGACGUCAACAAAGCCUAAAUGGUCAGACAUCUUGGUUUUCAUGAUCAUCAUUCAACAGGUCAAUACUGAACUGAAAACUUAAAGUUGAUAUUGUUCUACAUAGUGUGACUUUUUUAUUAAUUUGAAAUAGAAUGUGUUUUUUUCCUACAUAAGAAAGAGGAAAUUUCAACAUAAUGACUAUAAACAAAAAGGAGUCAUAUUAUCAUGAUCAUAGAUGAACAAGAACUAAAUCAUGUAAAUGCAACAACGUAAUUAUCAAUUGAAAGAAUGGAGGAAUGAAAAAAUAUAUUUGUAUUUUGUUGUCCAAAUGAACUUGCUUUGUCCACUCAUUUAAAUCGCUCCAUCCAAUAAAGAUGUACGGAGGAAGAUUUUUGAAGAACAGAUUGCAAAAAUGUUUUGUCUAAGAAUUGUAGGAAUAUUCUAGUGGAUGAAAUAAUUUGUUUACUUGACUCUUAUAUAGUGGACUGAAUAAUUGUACAUAGCAAGCUGAAACAAGAAAACUAAAACUUAACAGGAAAAGUGUUUAUUUUAUAAAUUUGCAAAUAUAAACGUAAUAUUAUGAACACCACAAAGGUAUAAGAUUCAAAUCGUUUGCAUAUUCAUGUAUUGCAAAGGAACUAUAACAAAGAAAACUUUACCUCAUUAAAAGAGUAAACUAUUAA